GAUCAUGGCUCAGGACGAACGCUGGCGGCAUGCCUAAUACAUGCAAGUCGAACGCUGAAGCACUCUGCUUGCAGAGUGCGGAUGAGUGGCGAACGGGUGAGUAACACGUGGGGAAUCUGCCUAGGAGUGGGGGAUAACAUUCGGAAACGGAUGCUAAUACCGCAUAUCUUCUUAGACCGCAUGGUCUAUGAAUGAAAGACGGCUUUGCUGUCGCUCUUAGA
rnacentral:rRNA from 1 species